UCUCAACAGCUCAGCACAAGACCGCAGCUCAUCCUGCCUCCAGCAAAACCAGAAGUGCUUCUCCCUUACCUGAAGCCACUGUGAAACCCCCUGAGCAUCAAGAUCCCUGUGGCAGUGCCCCUGGCCUGGCCCUUGCUCCUGUUAGUGACCAGACGCUCUCUGGAUCCAGUGAAGAGAUGUCACUAGCACCACCGCCACCACCUCCCCCCCCUCCGCCACUUCCUCCUCCACCACUUCUUCCUCCCUCUGCUUUGCCCUCUUUUCAAGGUACCACUCAUCAGAAUAUAGGGUUCCAGACUCUGGCAACAGAGGACCAGCCGUUCCCUCUAGCCUGUGAUAUGUCUGCCAGAAGACCAGGAGGGUCUGAUUGCCAGGAGGGUUUCCAGCGUCCAGGUAACCCACUGCACUUCUGCCCCCUCUCUCUGGGUUCGUAAGAUGUCGAAAACAUCUCUUAGUUUCAAUUUAGAAUCUUCUUCAGAGUUAUCUUGUCUCAGAGUAUGCCACCAUCAGUCUUGUUAGUACUCUCCUAUUGCAAUUAGUACAAACAAGACAACCUGACAAAUGCUAACUCAGCCUGAAGCCACGUCUCUGCAAAGAUCGGCUUCCCUGUUCUUCAGAAACUACCAGAGUUUCUCAGUACAGCUGUGACCGGCGCUGUUACAUCCCUGAGUCAUCCACAGAACUGAAGUGUUGAAGUUAACUGAGAAUACCAGAAAAGUGCGCCACCUUUUGUCUUCACACUAAACACACUCAAGCAUUUGUUUAGCAAGGGCCACGUUCUCAUGCAUAAUUCUAUCAUCGCUUUAGACAUUACGUUCAGGGGAAACUUUCUCUCCUGAAUCUGCCAGGAC
rnacentral:lncRNA from 1 species